rnacentral:rRNA from 1 species
AAUAAACGCUGGCGGCAUGCCUUACACAUGCAAGUCGAACGGCAGCAUAGAGAGCUUGCUCUCUGAUGGCGAGUGGCGAACGGGUGAGUAAAGCAUCGGAACGUACCGUGUAGUGGGGGAUAACGUAGCGAAAGUUACGCUAAUACCGCAUACGCACUGAGGUGGAAAGCAGGGGAUCGCAAGACCUUGCGCUAUACGAGCGGCCGAUGUCAGAUUAGCUAGUUGGUAGGGUAAAGGCCUACCAAGGCGACGAUCUGUAGCGGGUCUGAGAGGAUGAUCCGCCACACUGGGACUGAGACACGGCCCAGACUCCUACGGGAGGCAGCAGUGGGGAAUUUUGGACAAUGGGGGCAACCCUGAUCCAGCCAUGCCGCGUGAGUGAAGAAGGCCUUCGGGUUGUAAAGCUCUUUCGGCCGGGAAGAAAUCGCACAGGCUAAUACUCUGUGUGGAUGACGGUACCGGCAUAAGAAGCACCGGCUAACUACGUGCCAGCCGCCGCCGUAA